GAUGAACGCUAGCGGCAGGCCUAAUACAUGCAAGUCGAACGGAUAUAUGUUUUUCGGAAUAUAUAUUAGUGGCGCACGGGUGAGUAACACGUACAUAACUUGCCCUCAAGCGGGGGAUAGCCUUGGGAAACUGAGAGUAAUACCCCAUAGAAUUAUUGGACGGCAUCGUUUGAUAAUUAAAACUACGGUGCUUGGGGAUAGAUGUGCGUCUGAUUAGCUAGUUGGUGAGGUAACUGCUCACCAAGGCGACGAUCAGUAGGGGGCGUGAGAGCGUGGCCCCCCACACGGGUACUGAGACACGGACCCGACUCCUACGGGAGGCAGCAGUAAGGAAUAUUGGUCAAUGGAGGGAACUCUAAACCAGCCAUGCCGCGUGAAGGAUGACGGCCCUCUGGGUUGUAAACUUCUUUUGGAUGGGGCGAAAAAACGGGAUUUAUCCUGGACUGACGGUACCAUCAGAAUAAGCACCGGCUAACUCCGUG
rnacentral:rRNA from 1 species